rnacentral:rRNA from 1 species
AUUGAACGCUGGCGGCAGGCCUAACACAUGCAAGUCGAACGGUAACAGGAAACAGCUUGCUGUUUCGCUGACGAGUGGCGGACGGGUGAGUAAUGUCUGGGAAACUGCCUGAUGGAGGGGGAUAACUACUGGAAACGGUAGCUAAUACCGCAUAACGUCGCAAGACCAAAGAGGGGGACCUUCGGGCCUCUUGCCAUCGGAUGUGCCCAGAUGGGAUUAGCUAGUAGGUGGGGUAACGGCUCACCUAGGCGACGAUCCCUAGCUGGUCUGAGAGGAUGACCAGCCACACUGGAACUGAGACACGGUCCAGACUCCUACGGGAGGCAGCAGUGGGGAAUAUUGCACAAUGGGCGCAAGCCUGAUGCAGCCAUGCCGCGUGUAUGAAGAAGGCCUUCGGGUUGUAAAGUACUUUCAGCGGGGAGGAAGGGAGUAAAGUUAAUACCCUUGCCCAUUGACGUUACCCGCAGAAGAAGCACCGGCUAACUCCGUGCCUGCCGCCGCUGUAA